UACAGAGGGUGCAAGCGUUGUCCGGAAUUAUUGGGCGUAAAGGGCUCGUAGGCGGUUCGUCACGUCGGGAGUGAAAACUCGGGGCUUAACCCCGAGCCUGCUUCCGAUACGGGCAGACUAGAGGUAGGCAGGGGAGAGCGGAACUCCUGGUGUAGCGGUGGAAUGCGCAGAUAUCAGGAGGAACACCGAUGGCGAAGGCAGGUCUCUGGGCAUUAACUGACGCUGAGGAGCGAAAGCAUGGGGAGCGAACAGG
rnacentral:rRNA from 1 species